rnacentral:misc_RNA from 1 species
UGCAGCUAGGGUGAGAA